AGCAGCCGCGGUAAUUCCAGCUCCAAUAGCGUAUAUUAAAGUUGUUGCAGUUAAAAAGCUCGUAGUUGAAUUUCGGGAUCAAUUUAUUGGUCGUGCUAUUGUACGUACUGGUAUUAUUGAUUUCUACCUUCUGACGAACCAUGAUGUCAUUAAUUUGGUGUCUUGGGGAAUCAGGACUGUUACUUUGAAAAAUUAGAGUGUUUAAAGCAGGCUCACGCUUGAAUACAUUAGCAUGGAAUAACGAAAUAGGACGUUUGAUUCUAUUUUGUUGGUUUCUAGGAUCGACGUAAUGAUUAAUAGGGAUAGUUGGGGGCAUUAGUAUUCAAUUGUCAGAGGUGAAAUUCUUGGAUUUAUUGAAGACUAACUACUGCGAAAGCAUUUGCCAAGGAUGUUUUCAUUAAUCAAGAACGAAAGUUAGGGGAUCGAAGACGAUCAGAUACCGUCGUAGUCUUAACCAUAAACUAUGCCGACUAG
rnacentral:rRNA from 1 species